ACGGGUGAGUAACACGUGAGUAACCUGCCCUUAACUCUGGGAUAAGCCUGGGAAACUGGGUCUAAUACCGGAUAUGACUCCUCAUCGCAUGGUGGGGGGUGGAAAGCUUUUGUGGUUUUGGAUGGACUCGCGGCCUAUCAGCUUGUUGGUGAGGUAAUGGCUCACCAAGGCGACGACGGGUAGCCGGCCUGAGAGGGUGACCGGCCACACUGGGACUGAGACACGGCCCAGACUCCUACGGGAGGCAGCAGUGGGGAAUAUUGCACAAUGGGCGGAAGCCUGAUGCAGCGACGCCGCGUGAGGGAUGACGGCCUUCGGGUUGUAAACCUCUUCCAGUAGGGAAGAAGCGAAAGUGACGGUACCUGCAGAAGAAGCGCCGGCUAACUACGUGCCAGCAGCCGCGGUAAUACGUAGGGCGCAAGCGUUAUCCGGAAUUAUUGGGCGUAAAGAGCUCGUAGGCGGUUUGUCGCGUCUGCCGUGAAAGUCCGGGGCUCAACUCCGGAUCUGCGGUGGGUACGGGCAGACUAGAGUGAUGUAGGGGAGACUGGAAUUCCUGGUGUAGCGGUGAAAUGCGCAGA
rnacentral:rRNA from 1 species